GGGGUUGUGACUCAGUGGUAGAGUGCUUGCCUAGCAUGUGCAAGGCCCCAGGUUUGGUCCUCAGCCCCA
rnacentral:tRNA from 1 species